rnacentral:rRNA from 1 species
GGGGGGGGGGGGGGGGGGGGCGGGGGCGGGGGGGGCGGGCGGGCGGGCGAGGAGCGUGGGCCUGUGGGGUGAGGGGCGGACGGGUGAGUAACGCGUGGGUAACCUACCUAUAAGACUGGGAUAACUUCGGGAACCCGGAGCUAAUACCGGAUAAUAUAUUGAACCGCAUGGUUCAAUAGUGAAAGACGGGUUUGCUGUCACUUAUAGAUGGAUCCGCGCCGCAUUCGCUAGUUGGUCAGGUAACGGCUUACCAAGGCAACGAUGCGUAGCCGACCUGAGAGGGUGAUCGGCCACACUGGAACUGAGACACGGUCCAGACUCCUACGGGAGGCAGCAGUAGGGAAUCUUCCGCAAUGGGCGAAAGCCUGACGGAGCAACGCCGCGUGAGUGAUGAAGGUCUUCGGAUCGUAAAACUCUGUUAUUAGGGAAGAACAAAUGUGUAAGUAACUAUGCACGUCUUGACGGUACCUAAUCAGAAAGCCACGGCUAACUACGUG